rnacentral:rRNA from 1 species
CUCCUAUUACUCACCGGCGGAUGGGUGAGUAACGCGUAAGUAACCUGCCUGUGAGACUGGGAUAACUACCGGAGACUGUAGCUAAGACCGGAUAAUACAUUUUCUCUCCUGAUGAGAUGUUGAAAGGCGGAUCAAUCUGUCACUUACAGAUGGACCUGCGGCGCGUAACUUGUUGGUGAGGUAACGGCUCACCAAGGCGACGGUCCGUAACCGACCUGAGAGGGUGAACGGCCCACUGGGACUGAAAUCGGCCCAGACUCCUACGGGAGGCAGCAGUAGGGAGUCUUCCGCCAUGGACCAACGUCUGACCGAGCAACGCCGCGUGAUUGAUGAAUGUUUUCUGAUCGUAAAGCUCUGUUGCCAGGGAAAAAGAUUCAGGAGAAAACUGCUCGUGGACUGACUGCACCUGACAACAAUGCCCCGGCUAACUACGUGCCUACAGCCACGGUAAUACGUAGGGACAAGCGUUGUCCGGAAUUAUUGCGCCUAUAGCGCUCGCAGGCUGUCAUUUAGAUCUGCUGUGUAAUCCCGGGGCUCACCCCGGGUCGCACUGAAUCUGGUCGACUUGAAUACAGAAAAGGAGAGUGUAUUCCACGUGUACCGGUGAAAUGCGUAGAUCGUGGAGAACACCGUGGCGAAGCGACUCUCUGGGCUGUAACUGACGCUUAGGCACAAAGCGUGCGAGCAACAGGAUUAGAUACCUGGUAGCCCACCUAACGAUGAUGCUAGUGUUAGGGUUUCAUACCUGCUGCGAAUUAGCCAUUAGCAUCCUCUGGGAAUACGUCGCACAUGAACUCAAGGAAUGACGGGACCGACAGCGUGAAUACUGGUUAGUUGAACACGCAAUACC